CUACGGGUUGCAGCAGUGAGGAAUAUUGCACAAUGGGGGGAACCCUGAUGCAGCAACGCCGCGUGGAGGAUGACGCAUUUCGGUGUGUAAACUCCUUUUAUAUGUCAAGAAAAUGACGGUAGCAUAUGAAGAAGCACCGGCUAACUCCGUGCCAGCAGCCGCGGUAAUACGGAGGGUGCAAGCGUUACGCGGAAUGACGGGGCGUAAAGGACGCGUAGGCGGGUUGGAAAGUCUGGUGUGAAAUCCUACAGCUUAACUGUAGAACUGCACUUGAAACUUCUAAUCUAGAGUAUGGGAGGGGGAGAUGGAAUUAGUGGUGUAGGGGUAAAAUCCGUAGAUAUCACUAGGAAUACCUAAAGCGAAGGCGAUCUCCUGGAACAUUACUGACGCUAAGGCGUGAAAGCGUGGGGAGCAAACAGGAUUAGAUACCCGCGUAGUC
rnacentral:rRNA from 1 species